rnacentral:rRNA from 1 species
AGAGUUUGAUUCUGGCUCAGAUUGAACGCUGGCGGCAUGCUUUACACAUGCAAGUCGAGCGGCAGCGCGGGAGCAAUCCUGGCGGCGAGCGGCGAACGGGUGAGGAAUACAUCGGAACGUGUCCCGUAGAGGGGGAUAACCCGGCGAAAGCCGGGCUAAUACCGCAUAUGCUCUAUGGAGGAAAGCGGGGGACUUCGCAAGAGGCCUCGCGCUAUGGGAGCGGCCGAUGUCCGAUUAGCUAGUUGGUGAGGUAAAGGCUUACCAAGGCGACGAUCGGUAGCUGGUCUGAGAGGAUGAUCAGCCACACUGGGACUGAGACACGGCCCAGACUCCUACGGGAGGCAGCAGUGGGGAAUUUUGGACAAUGGGGGCAACCCUGAUCCAGCCAUGCCGCGUGCGGGAAGAAGGCCUUCGGGUUGUAAACCGCUUUUGGUCGGGACGAAAGGGUUUCCUUGAAUAGGGGAGAUCUGUGACGGUACCGGCAGAAUAAGCACCGGCUAACUACGUGCCAGCAGCCGCGGUAAUACGUAGGGUGCGAGCGUUAAUCGGAAUUACUGGGCGUAAAGCGUGCGUAGGCGGUUCGUUAUGUCCGUUGUGAAAGCCCCGGGCUCAACCUGGGAAUGGCAAUGGAAACUGGCGGGCUUGAGUAUGGCAGAGGGGGGUGGAAUUCCGCGUGUAGCAGUGAAAUGCGUAGAGAUGCGGANNAACACCGAUGGCGAAGGCAGCCCCCUGGGCUAAUACUGACGCUGNNNCACGAAAGCGUGGGGAGCAAACAGGAUU